rnacentral:misc_RNA from 1 species
AAGUCGUAACAAGGUAACCGUAGGUGAACCUGCGGUUGGAUCAUUAACAAAUUUUAAUAAGUUAUUCCUUUCGAGGAAUUUACUUUUAAACACUUUUUGUGAACUGUUUUAUUGUCUCUUGGUGUGGUAACGGAUGAAUAAUCUUAAAACAAGAGGUUUUUUAUUUUUAAAAUAAAGCUUCUUGUGAGCCCACCAAUUUUUUUUUUAAACUUUAAGUUAUUACCUUUUUUUGUCUUUAAUUUUAAAUCAUUAAAAAUAAUUUAAAAACAACUUUUAACAACGGAUCUCUAGGCUCUCA